rnacentral:rRNA from 1 species
UACGGAAGGCAGCAGUGGGGAAUAUUGCACAAUGGGCGCAAGCCUGAUGCAGCCAUGCCGCGUGUAUGAAGAAGGCCUUCGGGUUGUAAAGUACUUUCAGUCGUGAGGAAGGUGUUAAGGUUAAUAACCUUAGCAAUUGACGUUAGCGACAGAAGAAGCACCGGCUAACUCCGUGCCAGCAGCCGCGGUAAUACGGAGGGUGCGAGCGUUAAUCGGAAUUACUGGGCGUAAAGGGCACGCAGGCGGUUAAUUAAGUUGGAUGUGAAAUCCCCGGGCUUAACCUGGGAAUGGCAUUCAAGACUGGUUAGCUAGAGUCUUGUAGAGGGGGUUAGAAUUCCAUGUGUAGCGGUGAAAUGCGUAGAGAUGUGGAGGAAUACCGGUGGCGAAGGCGGCCCCUGGACAAAGACUGACGCUCAUGUGCGAAAGCGUGGGGA